rnacentral:rRNA from 1 species
CAGCAGCAGCCACGGUAAUACGAAGGGUGCAAGCGUUAAUCGGAAUUACUAGGCGUAAAGCGUGCGUAGGCGGUUUGUUAAGUCUGUUGUGAAAUCCCCGGGCUCAACCUGGGAAUGGCAAUGGAUACUGGCAGGCUAGAGUGUGUCAGAGGAUGGUGGAAUUCCCGGUGUAGCGGUGAAAUGCGUAGAGAUCGGGAGGAACAUCAGUGGCGAAGGCGGCCAUCUGGGACAACACUGACGCUGAGGCACGAAAGCGUGGGGAGCAAACAGGAUUAGAUACCCGCGUAGUCCCUGUCUCUUAUAC